GGGUUGAUAUAUUUAUAUCCCGAUUAAGUCUCCAGGUCUCCACUUUUACGAGGUUUAUGAAACAUCUUUUUAAAGAUUGUUUCCAAUAAUAAAAAAGGUCUUGAGCUAAAAAAAAAAACUUUGAUAUAUGUAAUGAUGUUUUAUAAUGGUGAUACAGAUCUUAGAUUAAACGUGUUCUCCCUAACUUCAACCAUCCUACAAAUCUACCACCUACAACAUCAUCCUACAAAUCUAUUACCUACAACUUCAUCUACAAAUCUUCAUUCGUCGAGUAAAUGAAACUCAGGACCUACCUUGAUGUUCGUGUACUCCUCCGUCUGACAGAUCUGAUGGAGUAAAUACUCUCCACCUGGAGAAAUCUUCUGAUGUCGUCUUCUAUCUUCAGAACUACUCUAAAUUCCGUUGGCCGUCUUCCACCAUCCUGACCAUCAUCCUGAGCUUAUGAAUGUGAGCUCACCUCCUCUGAAUCACGACUCGGAGUACUGAUUGAUCUGACCGAGCUGCCUCCGACUGGACAACACAGAUUUCGAGGACUUAUGUUGGAACGUCAUAUGCUUUAGACGUGUCCUGUUAAGGUGAGACUCAUCACACGAGAAAUAUAUAUAACGAUCUUGACGAACAGGAUUUUAAACCCCGUCUUGUUUAGAUUCCUCAAGAUCAGAGAACAAUAUCAAGGACGUCGUCUUCCCCUUGGUUCUCCGAUACUCUCCUUCUCUGCUUUAAGGAUUGCACCUAAAGACUCAAAAGGACUCUGAAUGAAGCAUAAGAUAAUCUCUCUCUGAACUGUAGCUCAUAUCAAGACCCCAGCCCGAGCAACUUUGUAAGUGUGUUUUUAAAUACUGAACUCUUUGCCAAUAUGAUUUUUAAUGAUUCAAAAAACUAAAUUUCUUUAUUGAGACCUGGAGCAAAUUUUUGUAAACAUAUACGUAUAAAUUCUGUUAUAUUAUAAUAAUUUAAUUUCAGUUCACAGUGUGAGAGCUGAAGUUGAGGAUAAACUACUUCAAUAAAGCUUAUAUAAACAUAACACUCGUGUAUUAAUGUGGUGCGCUGGUUAUAAGGGAAUACUCGCCCUGGAUAUGAGUGAGCUUUUAUGUUUUUAAAGUCUCAAAAACAACGUUACGAGUACAACGUGAUGUCCCACAAAAAAUUUGGGCCCGAUCGGUUCAGCCGUUUUGACGUUUAUUGGAUACAAACAAACAGA